rnacentral:lncRNA from 1 species
CUGCUGCGCUGCUCCAUCUGCCGCCCCUCUGCAUCCCCGUGCGUCUCCCGUGUAACAGCACCUGUGCAUCGCCGUGCAUCCUUGUGCAUAACCCCGUGUGCAGCACCGGCAUCCCUGUGCAUCCCCUGCAGCAUCCCCUGCAUGCAUCCCCGUGCAUCCCUGCAGCACCACCUGCAUCCCUGUGCAUGCAUCCCUGUGCAUCCCUUGCAGCAUCACCUGUAUCCAUGUGUCAUCCAUCCCUGUGCAUCCCUGCAGCAUCGCCUGCAUCCUUGUGCAUGCACCCCUGUGCAUCCCCUGCAGCACCACCUGCAUCCCUGUGCAUGCAUCCCUGUGCAUGCAUCCCUGUGCAUCCCUUGCAGCAUCACCUGCAUCCCUGUGCAUCCCUUGCAGCAUCCCCUGCAUCCCUGUGCACGUCCCCCACAGCACCACCUGCAUCCCUGUGCAUCCGCUGCAGCAUCACCUGCAUCCCUGUGCAUGCACCCCUGUGCAUCCCCUGCAGCAUCACCUGCAUCCCUGUGCAUCCCUUGCAGCAUCCCCUGCAUCCCUGUGCACGUCCCCCACAGCACCACCUGCAUCCCUGUGCAUCCCCUGCAGCAUCCUCUGCAUCCCUGUGCGUCCAUCCCUGUGCAUCUCCCAUAGGACAUCAUCUGUGCAUUCCUGUGCAUGCAUCCCUGUGCAUCCAUCCCUGUGCAUCCCCUGCAGCACCACCUGCAUCCCUGUGCAUCCCCUGCAGCAUCCUCUGCAUCCCUGUGCAUCCAUCCCUGUGCAUGCAUCCCUGUGCACCCCCUGCAGCAUCCUCUGCAUCCCUGUGCAUCCAUCCCUGUGCAUCUCCCAUAGGGCAUCACCUGUGCAUCCCUGUGCAUGCAU